rnacentral:rRNA from 1 species
GCACGGAGUUAGCCGGGGCUUCUUCUACGGGUACCGUCAACCUUGCGGUUUCGUCCCCGUCGAAAGGGUUUUACGUCCCAAGAGACUUCAUCACCCACGCGGCGUUGCUUGGUCAGGGUUGCCCCCAUUGCCAAAAAUUCCCCACUGCUGCCUCCCGUAGGAGUCUGGACCGUGUCUCAGUUCCAGUGUGUCCGACCGUCCUCUCAGACCGGAUACUGAUCGUUGCCUUGGUGAGCCAUUACCUCACCAACUAGCUAAUCAGCCGCGGGCUCCUCCUAGAGCGAAUUGCUCCUUUCAUCACAAAAUCCGCAGACUCUGUGAUCGUAUGCGGUAUUAGCACCGGUUUCCCGGUGUUAUUCCCCACUCCAGGGCAGAUUACCCACGUGUUACUCACCCGUGCGCCGCUGUACUCAGGGGAUUGCUCCCCUUUUCUCGUUUUACUUGCAUGACUUAGGCAAGCCGCCUUCGUUGAUUCUGUA